GGAGAGGACACACCUUCGUAGUGUAAUAGUUCUAGUUACAAGUACCAGAACUAUUAAGAAAUGUGUAUGUUGUUCAAGUCGAAACCAAUUCAGGAAGAUGGAUUUGGCGUGUGAAGGUUAUAGCAUAUAACAGUAGCACAGACGACAGUGUAAACAACAAUCCGGUUCUGGGCACUAUAUACUCCGGACACUUUAAGAAGGUACCUCGUCGAGUUGAAGGCGACCGGUUUCCACCCCACAACUUCAUCAUAACUCGACACCGCCUACGAGUUUUGGUCCGCCGCACAGGGAGUCGGAAAGAAAAAUGUAUCAUACAAUUUGGUCGAGAAUAUUUGAGAACUCGUUCACAUGGAUAAAAUUGUUCGGUCGUUAUUAAUCAAUAUGCAUACAAUGAAAUUUCAGCAUUGAGACUUGGAGGUAAUAUCAAAAAGUACAAUAUCCAAAGAAGACAACAGAAAAAAUCAUUUGUUUUCAUUGGUUGAAUCAUGCUUACGACAAUCAAUAGCAAGAGCAUCGUUCGAUCGUGCUAAGAGUGUUUUUGUCCUGUACUGAAAAAUUUAGAUGCUGAUCCUGAUGAAUGUUUUGUAAAUUUGUACAAAAGUAUUGGUGAUGUCUUAUAAGACCAUUGCUAAUGCAGCCAACGAGAGUGUCGAGCCCACGGUAUUUGAUUUCCACUGGCAGAGGAUGUGCUUGAAGUCUCUGUUAAUGGUACUGUAAAUCUCUCUUAAUUAAUUAUUUAUAAUGAGUGGUGUAAUCAGUACCCGCCUUGAGUAUCCACCUCCUACUUUACUAUGUACGCAUGUAGACCGUGUACUCAUAAUGAAA